CGCCCGCCGCGCGCGGCGGGCUACGGGAGGCAGCAGUGGGGAAUAUUGCACAAUGGGCGCAAGCCUGAUGCAGCCAUGCCGCGUGUAUGAAGAAGGCCUUCGGGUUGUAAAGUACUUUCAGCGGGGAGGAAGGCGUUGAGGUUAAUAACCUCAGCGAUUGACGUUACCCGCAGAAGAAGCACCGGCUAACUCCGUGCCAGCAGCCGCGGUAAUA
rnacentral:rRNA from 1 species